rnacentral:lncRNA from 1 species
UUGGAUGGAAACUCUUCUGGGUCCUUGAUGGUAUAACGUUGACCGGUGCUCAAUAGUUUCAGGAUUGGUCAAGUAUGGUACAAACAGUGCUCCCCUAAGUUCCCGAGUGAGGGAAGCUCAUCGGUUGGGGACUUGCAAGAUCCAAGCCAUUGAGUAAUCACGAAACUUCUAAGUACCGAAGUGUGGUAUCAUUUUCACUUGCCUUAUCUAUCUCAUACGUAGAUGUGG